AAGCUUGUUAGCUAGACAGUUAGCAUCAGCUAACAAUAUUUACUUAUUUUCAGUACGAUGAACAUUCAUGUCUGUCUACUCGUCUAGUUAAUCCAAACAAUAUACAUAACGUUACUGUCGAUAAACAAUAUAAAAACAGACGUAACAUAGGACAUUUUAAUAAAACUGUUAACAUUACGGCAGCGGUGAAUUUGAACGUGGAUGAGUUAUUGUAUUUAUUCUGUGUUAUUUUAUGGGGUUUUUUUUUUGUUGUUGUUGUUGUUGUUUUUUUACCUAAAAUUGAUGUGUCUGCAUCGUCUGCACUCGAGCAUUUCAGUGGGCUCAAAUAGAUCACUCUUUACAACGGAUUUAGUUCCCAAACAACUGACAGUUUUGACCUAAAUAUGAUUUUCAGUUACAAUAAUUAAUCCAAAAUUUCGACAUAACUUACUUUUAGCAACAUCAGACGCACGCGCGCUCACAAGAUCUCCCGGUUCUUACUUCUGUAGACUCGCACUAAACGGUUCAUUUGAAUGAAGUGAGUGGUCGACUCUAGAACAGCUGCAAUCGGAUCAUUCUAAUUCGUAAACGAAUCGUUUGGUGUGAUUCGCGAUCCGAUUUAAAAGUUUAUUUUGAAAAGACUCAGUUCGUUCAUGAUGAAUCAGACACCGCUUCUGCGUGUCGGAGCACGUGAUAUAUUAUAGGGAGUAACGAUAUGUUUUAUGAAAUGUAGUGAAGUAAAAAGUACGAUUUUAUUCUUUGGAAUGUAGUGAAGUAAAAGUAAAAGUUGCUCAAAAUAAAACUACUCCAGUAAAGUACAGAUACUUGAAAAAUGUACUUAAGUACAGUAACGAAGUAAAGCUACUCCGUUACUGUCCACCACUGGAGGGUCAAAUAAAGAUGGAAGAGAUUCUUGAAGAUUGCAAAGGACUCAGCUCUCCGGAUUGAGUUGGGGAGGUAAUUCCACCAGGAGGGAACAUUUAAUUUAAAAGUCCGUAAAAGUGUCUUUUUGCUUCUUUGGGAUGGCACAAUCAAGCGGCGUUCACUUGCAGAACGCAAGCUUCUAGAGGGCAAAUAAGUCUGAAGUAACAAAUUUAGGUAAAUGGGUGCAGACCAAGUGGUAGUUUUGUAGGCAAACAUCAAUGCCUUGAAUUUUAUACGAGCAACUAUUGGAAGCCAGUGCAAACUGAUAAACAGAGGUGUGACAUGUAUUCUUUUUGCCUCAUAAAAAUAAUCUUGCUGCCGCGUUCUGAAUUAAUUGUGAAGGUUUGAUAGAAUUGGCUGGAAGACCUGCCAAGAGGGCAUUGCAAUAGUCCAGCCUGGACAGAACAAGAGCUUGAACAAGGAGUUGUGCAGCAUGUUCCGAAAGAAAGGGCUUGAUCUUCUUGAUGUUGAAGAAAGCAAAUCUGCAGGAUCGGACAGUUUUAGCAAUGUGGUCUGAGAAAGUCAGUUGAUCAUCAAUCAUAACUCCAAGGCUUCUAGCUGUUUUUGAAGGAGUUAUGGUUGAUGUGCCUAACUUGAUGGUGAAAUUGUGAUGAAACAAUGGGUUUGCUGGAAUCACAAGCAGUUCUGUCUUGGCAAGGUUGAGUUGAAGGUGAUGGUCCAUCAUCCAGGAAGAAACGUCUGUUAGACAAGCUGAGAUGCGAAUAGCUACCGUCGGAUCAUCAGGAUGGAAUGUGAGGUAGAGUUGAGUGUCAUUAUCAUAGCAGUGGUAUGAAAAGCCAUGUUUCUGAAUGACAGAACCUAAUGAUGCCAUGUAGACAGAGAAGAGGAGUGGUCCAAGAACUGAGCCCUGAGGCACCCCAGUAGUUAGAUGUUGUGACCUCACCUCUCCAAGAUACUUUGAAGUAUGAAGGUAUUUUUGAUUCAAAUUAACUGAGCACCUGUGGCAGUGUGAUUUGUAGUUGUAGAGAAAAGCCACACAUGUGUAUCAGUAAAUUUGAAGUCACAGAGAUAAAUGUUUUAAGAGUUGCAAACCUGUAGCCUUUUUUUCUCUCCCACAAACACAACACAACAGUUACACCUUCUCAAAUUCUUCAUUGCAGGUGCACAAAUCCUAUUCUACAAAUCACACAUUUAGAAACUCGUACGCUCACAUUUUUGAAACAAUUGCUGCAGUGAAUGUGGUGCAAAACGCAUUUACACACCCGCAUCAAGAAAUGUGCAGUCGUGGAGAAAUGUUGAACAUCCGCAAAUCAGUACGUGAAUUCAUCAAAUGAGAGUUGCACACUUGUAGAAUAUUUUCUCAGAAUGUCUUGUAUAUUUUUCUACCACAAACACAAAGUACAUAACUACAGCUUCUUGAAUCUGCUGCGAUGAAGCUCAAACACUGUUUUUUCGCUUUCAAGCGACAAGUUUCGCGCUCUCCCUUUUGCACCGAGAUAUUUGGUUCAAAAGUGAUUUGUGCAUCUGUAGAGGUAGUGGGCGGGACUGUUUAGAGAUUACAGAAUUUCAGCCAAUCAGAAGAGCUUACUGAGCCGGUAGAUAUACGCCCCAAGCAGUUUUACGCCCCUGUUGUUCCUCAUGCGUCCAGUAGGGGGAGGCAGUAUAUUAGUAUAUGAGCCCAGUCAUUUAUAAGAACAGCAGACCAUAUCUAUAUGUAUGAUAGCAGCAGACCUUCUUGAAGCGAUACGGAUGAGUGUUCCAUCAAUAUUGUUCAUUGAAGAUCAGGAGCGAAUUGAUGUUAUCUACACUCAGAUGACUUCAAUUUUGGAUGGCACACCUACACACACCCACAGUGACCAGAUCAGAUUCAUUAUGGAUGUCCCUUUUCCAGAGUCCAUCAUCUGUGCUCUUGCUGUUGUGAAAGAUGUGUCCAUCUUGGAGGCUGAGGAGAAAUUCCUUCGAGGACCUGUCAUUGACGCAAGUGAGUGGGAUCACUUUGACCGCAGGAUAAAGAAACAAUUAAAGAAGAGUGGCAAACCAUUGGAGAGUCAUCUACAGGAGUCAUGCUGUUAAGAAAUAACCAAGUCAUGGUGUUAAUAAAUUUUUUUUGUGAACAACAA